ACAAGACUUGUUAUUAGACGAUU
rnacentral:misc_RNA from 1 species